CCGGGACCCAGAGGAAACCAGAUGCAGAGGAAGGGUCUUGCUCUCUGCUUGCUUCCCCACUCAACGCAGGACCACUUAGACCAUCUCGGAGACUAGACAGGCCUGCUAGCCACUAGCAGCGGAGCCCUGCGCUGGGUUUCUCUCCAACCGGACGAUGCACACACAUCCCCUUGGGGAAUCUGAGGCAGGAUUCUGAUCCAGCGGGGAAAGGGGAGAACUCAUAUUGCCGAGAUCAGAGCUGACCGGAACCGCUGAAGUGCUCAGUUAUCAAUUCUGACUCCUCGUGUCAUGGAUUCAAGGGAUAUAACCGCCUGAUCACCUUGAGAAGAAAAAGAAGGAUGCCCCAUGCCAUCUGUCACCCAG